rnacentral:rRNA from 1 species
UACGAAGGGGGCUAGCGUUGCUCGGAUUUACUGGGCGUAAAGGGCGCGUAGGCGGACAGUUAAGUUGGGGGUGAAAGCCCGGGGCUCAACCUCGGAAUUGCCUUCAAUACUGGCUGUCUUGAGUGUGAGAGAGGUGUGUGGAACUCCGAGUGUAGAGGUGAAAUUCGUAGAUAUUCGGAAGAACACCAGUGGCGAAGGCGACACACUGGCUCACUACUGACGCUGAGGCGCGAAAGCGUGGGGAGCAAAUAGG